UUUUUUGUAUAGAUUUGUUUCAGAAAAUUUCACUAAAAUUCCUACCGUAUGGCAAACACGAGUCAGGUGUGUACGUCCGUAUCAUUGUUGCUGUGAUGACAAGCCCACACAUGAAAGAAUUUGAAAAACAAAUAAAAAUAGAAGAUGACAAUCGACAAAAAUGGUUUCGAAGUUAAACGAGCUUUAGGACCGUUCUUAAAGAACGCAAUAGAUUUAUGUGCAGAUAUGUGACAAACGAAAAAAAUGUUGGUAAUUAUGAUGGAUGAUGGCAAGCCAAAUGAAUGAUGGGAAGCUUUAUGAUUGUGGGUAGAUAAAUGAGGUGUCGAAUAACCUUUCACAUUCACAAUGAAAUUUAUUAGUAACAAGAAAGGUGAAUUGAUGACUGUAUGCAAAUAUUACCCAAAUUGUUGGUCAUUUGUCAAUAUGAUACAAUAUAGUCUAUAGAAAAAAUCUCUUUCCCAACUAAAUGGACGGAGGAUUUUGCACCUUGUGUUGAAUGAUUUGAUGAUGGAUUUU